rnacentral:rRNA from 1 species
AUUGAACGCUGGCGGCAGGCCUAACACAUGCAAGUCGAGCGGAUGAAGGGAGCUUGCUCCUGGAUUCAGCGGCGGACGGGCGAGUAAUGCCUAGGAAUCUGCCUGGUAGUGGGGGAUAACGUCCGGAAACGGGCGCUAAUACCGCAUACGUCCUGAGGGAGAAAGUGGGGGAUCUUCGGACCUCACGCUAUCAGAUGAGCCUAGGUCGGAUUAGCUAGUUGGUGGGGUAAAGGCUUACCAAGGCGACGAUCCGUAACUGGUCUGAGAGGAUGAUCAGUCACACUGGAACUGAGACACGGUCCAGACUCCUACGGGAGGCAGCAGUGGGGAAUAUUGGACAAUGGGCGAAAGCCUGAUCCAGCCAUGCCGCGUGUGUGAAGAAGGUCUUCGGAUUGUAAAGCACUUUAAGUUGGGAGGAAGGGCAGUAAGUUAAUACCUUGCUGUUUUGACGUUACCAACAGAAUAAGCACCGGCUAACUUCGUG